AUGCGGCGAGCGAGCUGGAUGUCCUUGGGCAUGAUGGUGACGCGCUUGGCGUGGAUGGCGCAGAGGUUGGUGUCCUCGAACAGCCCCACCAGGUACGCCUCGGCGGCCUCCUGCAGCGCCGACACGGCGGAGCUCUGGAACCGGAGGUCCGUCUUGAAGUCCUGCGCGAUCUCCCGCACCAGGCGCUGGAAGGGGAGCUUGCGGAUGAGCAGCUCCGUGCUCUUCUGGUACUUGCGGAUCUCGCGCAGCGCGACGGUGCCCGGGCGGAACCGGUGCGGCUUCUUCACGCCGCCGGUGGCCGGCGCCGACUUGCGCGCCGCCUUGGUGGCCAGCUGCUUCCGCGGCGCCUUGCCGCCCGUCGACUUGCGCGCCGUCUGCUUCGUGCGGGCCAUCGGAGCCGCGCGGGGGCUGCCGGGGGACUGCGGUGGGGGAUUCUUGGGAGGGAGCGGGGGCGGUGCGGCUGGCUGA
rnacentral:rRNA from 1 species